GAGUUAGUUAAAAUCUCCGUAUACAGGAUUUACAGUAUAUACAUUACCUGUGCAUUUUAUCCAAACCAAACCUCAAACCAUCUGCACAACCAGCUGUAGACCAUUCAACCCAGCGCAGUGAUGAAAUCCACAACCACUUUCUUUAUAUCUAGAAACCCAGUGACUCAAAUAAGUGAACGUAAUUUCAUUUUGAAAAGUCGAUGAAUAAAGAAGAAAGUAAUCGUUACCACCAAAAAACUAUAAAAAUAAGUUUUUAUUCUUAAACAUAAUAUUCUGAGCUAAACCCUUAGAUGGACUCUGAACUCUGAGUUAGACCCUGAGCUAAACCUUAAGCUAAACCCUAAGGUAAACUUGAGGUGAGCUAAACCCAGAACUAAACCCUGAGAAGUGAGAACCCUAGUAAAAUGACUAAGUCCUGUGGUUCCAGUUCAAGAUGUUUUGUAGAUCGAAAAUCCGGGAAGGUUUUCAAAACCAAGGGGAAAAUGUCAAAACAGAUUAUAUAUUGCGAUUCUUGCGAGUUUAAAUCGACGUCACAACUUUUCCUCUCCAUGCAUCAAAGAUUUUGUCAUUCCACCCCUGACCCUGAUCUUGGCCAAAAUGUGGAUCACUUACAAAAUAACGAUUCCCCACAGGCCACAGCAUGAUGCUUUAUUACACCAAGCUUUUCCUUCACAGCAUGCAAAUGCUGCUACUUUACAACUUGUUACUUCGUCACAGGAUGCUGAUUAAUAACAAAAUGAUGCAUCCUUACAGCACGCUGCUCCGUCAAAUUUAGCAACAAUUUUUAAGAUAAUACUUUUAUGGAUAUUGUAAUUUCUUAUAUUAAUAUAUUAAAAUGUUUUUAUUCUUAUAUGUGUCGCCUUUACCAAACAAACUGUGAUAAACCUGAUAUUUGUUAAUAUAGCAAUAUGUUUUUUAGACUAGACUUUUAGGGUGAUGAAAGUCCCUGUUCUACUAAUAAUUUGACACUUUUGAUGUAGAUUUAUUUUAAGUCGCUUUUUUUCUCCUAUUCCAAUAAACACAAAUUUUUGCGGACCAUUUUGUAUAAAGGAGUUGAGUUUU
rnacentral:misc_RNA from 1 species